CAGAGAUGCACAUUUGUCUAAUAGCUUCAAGCUAGUGAUUUCAAUUUUUGGUGCAGUAUUCUGACAUUUCAGGGGUGAAUGAUGAUGUCCUUUUUCUCCAAAUAAGUAACACACCUCCCAAAAUGCACAACCAGAUAAAAUGUGGGUGUAUCAGCAGAUCUGGAAGAAGUCAAAGGUUUAUAUAAUUGAUUUGGGAAAAGAUAAUGGAAUGAAAAUUGAAGUAUUUAAUUGGAACUCAAUGAAAAAGGAACAUUCCGCAAUGCAACAUUUCAUGAGAUGUCUACCUUGAUGAAAAGAAGCAGAGCCUGUGAGGAGGGAGUAGGAACAACAAUCUGCAUUCUGUCACUUCAAUAGAUGACUCACCGUUGGCCUCUGUGACUAAUUCUUUUUUCACAGAACAGUCUGUUAGGCAAGAAACUGAAGGAAGAAACAGCUGGGCCAGAACUAUUUUUAUAACUAAUACCAUAUGGAGAGCCUCACUAGUUUUCCUAUUGGGCUAAGGAAUGACUUGUUUUGUUUUCUUAGCAUUGUUGCUAUUGCUUGGGUCAGGAGGGCUAUGACUUCUUCCAUUAUUAGACCUCUUUUAAUUUUUAUGUCUAUGCAUAACUAAUAUUUCUAAGUCCAAGAGGGCAGCAUAUGACAGUUUUAUAGGGUUGAUGACCAGCAAUCCUAUUUCUUCUACUACAUUCAACCUUGCCUCUUAUUUGUUGCCAACUCUUUGGUCAUUGUUAUAUUUUCCUCCUGUUGUUUUCCAUGUCUUCUACUCUGCACAAAGUUACUUUGGCUUCAGAAUGAUUGAUGUAGCUAAUUGAUGCAUUGGACUCCAAAUUCCAUCAGCCUCACUCAGCAUGCUAUGGUGGCUGUGACAAAAAGGCAAAUUCAAUUAUUGGAAGCAUUAAGGAAAAGAUUUUAAAACAAGUUUGUUAGAUUUUUGUUUCUUAUAAGGUACAUUAUAUACCCAAAACAUGGAGCAUUAUUUGAAGAAAUAUGCCAAUCAGAACUCGAAACAGGGAGUUUUUUUAAUGUUAAAAAGAUUACAUCUGUUUACAAUCUGGUGUCUAUUGGUUUAUAAGCUGGUUCUUUAUCAGUGUAAUGGAAAAAGUGAUAAUAUUACAUGAUGUGAUCAUGUUUUAAACAUUGGGUUACAAACUAGAUUGAAUUAUUUCAAUGUUUUGAUUGUUUAAUUUUCAUUAAUUUAAUUGUGGGAACCUCCAAGGGUCACAUAUGAGACAUGAGUGGCUAUACACAUUUAAUAAAUAACAAAUAUAACAUAGAUGUUUUUGUUUUUUUAGUUCUUCUUUCUGCUUUCCCACCCCCCU